rnacentral:rRNA from 1 species
CUAGCGACUUCAGAGUUUGAUCCUGGCUCAGGACGAACGCUGGCGGCGUGCUUAACACAUGCAAGUCGAACGGAGCUUUUUGGAUAGAGACUUCGGUCAAUUGAAUUAAAGCUUAGUGGCGGACUGGUGAGUAACGCGUGAGGAACCUGCCUUUCAGAGGGGGACAACAGUUGGAAACGACUGCUAAUACCGCAUGACGCAUUCGGGUCGCAUGGCCUGAAUGCCAAAGAUUUUAUCGCUGAAAGAUGGCCUCGCGUCUGAUUAGCUAGUUGGUGAGGUAACGGCCCACCAAGGCGACGAUCAGUAGCCGGACUGAGAGGUUGACCGGCCACAUUGGGACUGAGAUACGGCCCAG